GACGAACGCUGGCGGCGUGCUUAACACAUGCAAGUCGAACGGAAAGGCCCUGCUUUUGUGGGGUGCUCGAGUGGCGAACGGGUGAGUAACACGUGAGUAACCUGCCCUUGACUUUGGGAUAACUUCAGGAAACUGGGGCUAAUACCGGAUAGGAGCUCCUGCUGCAUGGGGGGGGUUGGAAAGUUUCGGCGGUUGGGGAUGGACUCGCGGCUUAUCAGCUUGUUGGUGGGGUAGUGGCUUACCAAGGCUUUGACGGGUAGCCGGCCUGGGAGGGUGACCGGCCACAUUGGGACUGAGAGACGGCCCAGACUCCUACGGGCGGCAGCAGUGGGAAAUAUUGCACAAUGGGCGGAAGCCUGAUGCAGCAGCCCCGCGUGCGGGAUGACGGCCUUCGGGUUGUAAACCGCUUUCGCCUGUGACGAAGCGUGAGUGACGGUAAUGGGUAAAGAAGCACCGGCUAACUACGUG
rnacentral:rRNA from 1 species